UGUGACUCUCCACUGUGCUUUCCCUCCAGACUGGCUGCAUCUCAUCUUAGCCAGCCCUGGUACCACGUGGGAUUGCUCGCUGGAGAGCACAAUGGAAGAAUAGAGGCAGUAUGAUAGAGGGACAGCUGCAGUGGUCCCCUCCCAGCUGCAGAGAAUGUUAACCAGUGAACUGCUUGGGGCUCUGUUCACUCCUGCCUCAGGGACGGACUGUUCAACCCAAGCUGUUACUCACAUAAACAGAAAAGUGCUCUGCUGCCUUUCACCCAAGAAUAAUAUCUUCAGAGCUGUCCUCUUGGACACUGAAUACAUACUGGAAGAUGGCGAGUGUUGGGCGAAAAGAAAAACAGACCUAAUUAAACAUAACCUAAGGUAAAGCAAAGUAAUACAUUUGAACUCAAAAAGGAAUAUUUGUUAUUCUUAUCAAUGUUAAAGUGUUCACUUUUUUUUCAAAAUAUGUAUAGAUUAUUACUCCGCCAAGGAGUUUUGUGAUGAUCGACGUACGUUUGUCUGUCUGUAAGCAACAUUACUCAAAAACGGACUAAUGGAUUUGGAUGACAUUUUCAGGGAAGGUCAGAAAUGACACAAGGACCAAUUGAUUAGAUUUUAGCGGUGAUGCGGCUUAUAGUUGGGAUCCAUGGAUUUGUUAAAGAUUUCUGUAUCAUUGCGAGAUAACAGCAUGGCGUCACUGUAACUAUGACAAGUGAUCACUAUGUCAGCUGCCUGCUGACAAUCACGAUUGCGAUCCUACUACAAAUUGACCACUGUAGACUUAUCGGGAUUUAUCCAUUGUAAAUGAUGCAAGGAACAAUUGAUUAAAUUGUGGGGGUGUUUCCAAGUCCCAUCAAUUCCAGCCACCCGCUACAUAUUUCUGUCACGUGAUUCGUAAAAAACAUACCGUACUUACCGUACUGUAAGCCGCUACUUUUUUCGAAUGGUUUGAACCCUGCGGCUUAUACAACGAUGCGGCUAAUGUAUAGAUUUUUAUGGGCGAGCUUCAUGCCGUCAAUUCGUUUAGCCUCAUCACAGCAGAAUGAAAUUACCGAACAACUCAUGGUGGACCAAUGAAAUUAUUCAAAUGAAAUCAAACACACUCACACUAAAUUCUUCAGAUCAGUCAUUUUGUGCUUCAUGCACACACCCUCAUCAAAGAAGGAAAUAGAGCUGCUGCGCGUACGCUUGGCAUCAAUGAAUCGAUGGUGGGAUGAUGGAGUCAUCAGCGUGAACUGACUUAAUGUGUUUUACUGCCGUGUUACAGGCAUUGUUUGGAAAAAAGCACUUAUUUAAUUAAAAGUUAAAAAAAUGUUUCUGUGUAAAUAUCUCGUGUUACAACAUGGACACCUGCAGCUUAUAGUGAGGUGCAGCUUAUAUAUGUACAAAACUUUUUUCUUUUUAAAAUUAGUGGGCACGGCUUAUAUUCAGGUGUGCUCAAUAGUCCAGAAAUUAUGAUACACAUGCAAAACACGCGUUGGGUUAGUGCAAGGUUAUUUUGUUUUUGGGUACAUCUAUAUUAAAUGGUCACAUUCUAUGUUGCCGUGAUUUCGGAUCAUCAAUAAUUAAUAAACAAAUGCUGCAUUUCUAAAAAAAAAAAAUGCAUUUCUGACAAUGCCAUAUGGGGGAAUAAACAGCCUUGGUGAGUACUGUGCUGUCUGAGGGCUUUUUUAGAUUUCUUAAUAAAUCAUUUAUUUUUUUGGUCUGUGAAGUAUCUGAUGUCUGCUGCCAAAUUUCCUAGAUGAAAAGCUGAAACUGUCAAAGUUUUGCUUGAUUUGAUCUUUGGACAUUGAAGAUGCUGUAUGCAACAUUUAGGACCAGUGGAUAUUGCUAAAUUACCAGUGUCUUAGAUCAAAUUGGCCCCAUGUACCUCGUCCUUUUGUGUUUCAUUUAAUUUCCGAUGUCCGUUAUGUACACCCUUGUGAACAUAAAAUAACUGAACCACAACAAUUAGCUCAUGUUAGCAUUGUAAAGCACAUUGUGUCGCCACAACAAGUUGUUGUCUACUCAGAUAAAAUUAUCUUCACCUGUCUCAUCUUUGUGCUGCUCUGUGGACAUAGUGGAACAGAGGACAAAAGCCAAACAGUAGCAAACGAUGCUAUAAAAUGAAACUACAUUAACAUAAAUAUAAUAAUUUUUUUCAAUCUUUGAUUUUUGGGGACUGGGCUGAUUACAGAACUUCUACUUAUGUAAUGUAGGUAGUAUCAACAGUUUCAAAGGGAAGGACUCACAUGGACUAACAUGUUUGCAAAGCUGCACUCACUGGAAAAACAUCAACAUUGCUACUCGGGAUGUAACGAUUACCGGUUAAAAUGAUAAACCGCGGUAAAAUGUCUGACGGUUAGUACUACCGUUUCAAAUUUUAAUUACCGUUAAACCGUGUUUGAUUGCCACAAUCCGGAAAAUCUCAGGAAUAGGCCUACUACUAUUGUGAAAAGUGCAGCGGCAGGCAGCCGAUUGGAUACAUGCGCCCCGCGCGCAUUGCGCACUGCAUAGUAAACAACUCGUAAAUAUGGCGGAGGACACCGGCAGUGGAGAGAUUUUUCCACCGUCCAAACGUACCAAGUCCGAAGUCUGGGCGUACUUCGGAUUUUAUAAAGACGCGCAAGGGAGACUGGUGGAAGAAAGCAACCCAGUCUGCCGAAAAUACCACAAGAAAAUAUCGGCAAAGGGUGGAAACACGUCCAACAUGCUGGCUCAUCUACGGGACCCGCAACUGUGCAGCGAGUUAAAGAGAGGGCGUGUAGUGGACAGAACCGGGACAAGUCCUCCAACAGCUUCUACCUCUUCGGUCACAGUGGCACAAACAAUAACCCAGGCGUUUGAAAAGAAGGCUGCUUAUGCACCAACAUCGAAACAUGCCAAAGACCUCACAGCAGCUAUCUCAUAUUUUAUUGCAAAAGACAUGAUGCCAUUUCAAACUGUUGAGAGGCCUGGAUUUUUGAAGCUGAUGAAGGUUGCUGUGCCUCACUAUAAAGUUCCUUCACAAAAUCAUUUUUACUUUGUUUUAUAUAGUAGUGUUAUUGUAUUAUAUUAUAUUUGUAAGACUAGAUCUUUCCGAGCACUGAAUGUGAAGAUAGUUACAAUUUGCACAAUAUAAAGAAUGUAAUUUUAUUUAAAUUGUAUUUAUUUGUUAAUCUUUAUGAGGCAGUGGCACCUUACUUUUUUGUUGUACUUUGUUAUUCCUAAUGUUGCUUUCAAGCAAACGGACUACCUCCUGGCUCUUUUAAGGUCCCCUCUUUAAUUUUUUAAGCUUAUUAAUAUGUUAUUUAAGGUUUAAGCUCAUAUUUUGAUUGGUUUUUCAAAAAUAAAAACGUUGUUCAUUGA